rnacentral:sRNA from 1 species
GACAAACUGCAAUUCACGUAGGGAAGGAAAGGGGAAAGAAAGGGACAGCCAAGAGAUGCAGGGGCAGGGGGACCCCCCCUCUUUAAUUUUUCAAAGAAAACUGCUUUGUCAUUGUGAGUUUGUGAUCAAAAGAAACAUGCAAUUUGCUUCAGAUUUUACAUAUUCUCAGUAAUUAUAUAGUUCUGUCUCAUUUGAAGGGUUAUCUAAUGAUUGCCUUUUAGAAGCUUUGUAUGAUCUGUCAGUUCUGUUCAUGUUGAUGUCGGAGGGAUACAAUUUAUUCACCUCAGAAAGAGAUUUAUUUGCUUUCUUCUCCAGGAGGUAUAUGCACCAUCCCCAAAUUCAGAUGAUUUCAACCGUGAAUCUCCUAGUUAUCCAUCUCCUAAGCCACCAACCAGUAUGUUCGCUAGCACUUUCUUUAUGCAAGAUGGGACCCACAAUUCUUCUGACCUUUGGAGUUCAUCAAAUGGGAUGAGCCAGCCUGGUUUUGGUGGAAUUCUGGGGACCUCCACUUCCCACAUGUCUCAAUCCAGUAGUUAUGGCAACCUUCAUUCACAUGACCGCUUGAGUUAUCCUCCACACUCAGUUUCACCAACAGACAUAAACACGAGUCUUCCACCAAUGUCCAGCUUUCAUCGUGGCAGUACCAGCAGUUCACCUUACGUUGCUGCCUCACACACUCCUCCCAUCAAUGGAUCAGACAGCAUUCUAGGAACCAGAGGGAAUGCUGCUGGAAGCUCACAGACAGGUGAUGCACUUGGAAAGGCUUUGGCAUCUAUUUAUUCUCCUGACCAUACCAGCAGUAGUUUUCCGUCAAAUCC